GAGCAUAUAGCGUUGGAACACCGAUUCCCGUACGAUCACAGAAGUAAAGCAACGUCUAGCCUGGUCAGUACCUAGAUAGGUGACGACAUGGGAAUAACAAGUGCUGUAA